ACAAGUACGAAAUGCAUUUGUAAAGUGAAAUGAACGACCUUGUAAGGAAACAAGUUAGCAGUAUUAUGCAAAUGUUGAUUUAUAGGGAAAUAUUUGACUUCAUAUUUUUCAAUAUAUCAGCUAGUUCAUGAAACUUGAAAUUAUUAAACCUUCUGGGCAAGGAUUAUAGAUUCACUAGAUCUGAUGAGCUAUCCAGAGGCAAAACUUCAGAUUUCUGAAAUUCUUUCACAGUUAUCAUGGCUACACGUGUAAUCUUGUAACAAGCAAUUUCUAGAAAUGUGUGAAUAAUCUAUCCAAUGCUUAUAAUAUUUUAUCCACUCAUGAUAUAACUAAACAAAGAAGAGAAUCUAGGAUCAAGAGCAAAACUCAGAAAAAUGUUGACAAACAAAAUCAAAUAUCAAAAAUAAAAGUAUGCACCAUAGAUAUGACUUUAAACACCAAAGAAACCCUCCAUUUAAUCCAUCCAGUGAAGUUUCAAAACCCUCAAAAAAGGUCCAAAAUUUCAUUAGGAUUUUGUAUGUGCAGAAACAUAGAUGUUAGAAAUAUAGUACAGGAUAUAAAUGGAAAAAAAUGAUACUACAGAGUAUGACACAAAAUAUAAUUCUUAACACAUAAAAAUCAGAUGCUUCAGGCAUGAACUGUGAUAUCCCUGUUCCUUUGGGCCUCCUGCUUAAGGAAAAAAGAAAACUGAAGGAAAACAAAUCAGACAUUUAAAAGUUUGCCAAAAUAUAAAUUUCUAGUUUGAAAAAUAAUAAAAAUAAAAUUAUUUCUGUGACCAUAAAUUCUUACAUAAAAUACUUUUCAAAAGCUUGAUUUACUUUAAAUCCUAGAUAGGUAAGUAUAGAUAUGUAGGUAUAGAAAUAGUUAAGUAUAGAUAUGUAGAUAUAGAAGUAGUAUAUAAGGUUUUAUUUGGUAAGGUUUAGUGGGGUUCCACAUAUAAAGGUAUUUGAGUAACAUUAAAAAAACUAUUUUUUUCUCUUUUCUUAAUAACUCUAUUAUGUCUAACAAUAAAUCCUUCUAUAGUGAAGAGGUAACACUUCUAAAACUUUAAAUUAUGAAAAUGUGCCAAUUUAUGACCUAAACUAAAUUUCCUCACAAUUAAUAAUAAGAAAUACACCUUUUGAUGAAACACAGAUACUAAAUCAAUUAUCAGGUAACAUCUAUAUAAUAAACUACUCGAGAAGUGAAGAAAAGCAGUGAAGCUAAAAGUAAAGAUUUUUUAAAUAAAAACAUCUGCUGCUAAAAUAAAACAGAAAAAGAAACUGUACAGUCAAUGAAAAAUAAAAACAAUAUGAUGAAGAGCCUUUACCAGUAUCUUAGAGAUGCAAAAAAUUAAACAAAUAUGAUAGAAUGGAAAAAGUUAAUUCUCACAUAUUCUGAAAAGGAUAUUAAGUACAUUUUAGAUUUGGAGAAACUAUGUAGACAAAGUCACUCUCAAAAUAUUCACUAUUUAUUCCAUCACAACAGAAUGUAUAAUUGUCAUCUCAUGUACCGUGUAUUUAAGAGGGCAGAUUCAGUCGAAGCCCUUAAAACAAAAUGGAUCUCAUUGCCUUGGACAGUAUACAUUGCAGGUUUAUUUGCAAUAUAUUUUAGAAUCAUUUUUAUAAAUCAUUCUGUCUCAGUUGUAAGAAAAACACAAGUUAAAGACAUAAUGUUGCUCCCUAAUCCAGUAUUUCUGUCAGGUUUAACUAGAUAUGCUCAUUUUUUGAAGUAUGCAAGAUAACCCCCAAAGCUUAUAUAACUUGUGCAUCAUUCAAAACAGAAAAUUAUUGAGCAAUUAAUUAUUUACUUGUAAGUAUUUUCCAAGGAUGAACUAAUGCUUCUGAAUGAGUUUCUGAGAAAUUUUAAGUAGAGGAGCAAAUUAAACAUUAUGUUUUAUGGUGACAGAUAAAAAUGGUUUCUCUUACCAAAAACAAAACUUUCAUCUCUCAGUGUCUGCACUAAAGCAGCAAAUAUAUAUACAUAUUCUAUCAUUUUUCUAAUCUCUAUUAAAUGAUUAGUUUAACAAUGAAAUAUUUUAAUCAUCUGAAUCACUUAAGGAUAUUGGGGGAGAAACCAGAAGGAAACCAGAGAAUAAGAGUUAAUUUUGCACCAUUUUGCUCUCAUAAUUCUGUGGUCAUAGUCUUCACAAAACUAUAGUUAUACUCUAAACCUAAUUUCAGGCAAUGACCAAUUCACUUCAUGUAAUCAUUCUAUAUUAAAAUUUCAAUGUGUUCUAUUCAUAUAAAUAAAAUAGUUCUUUACCAUAUUUUAUUGAGAAAAAGAUGAUAAAUAUCUUUAAAAGUAUUUCAAGAGCAUAUGUAAAGUGAUCUGUGCAUUUCAUGCAUUACUAUUAAUAUUAUUUUAGAUAGUAAGCUGCUCUAUCCUUUCCUAGAAUUAUCAUCAUUGCAUUCUAAAACAUGAUAGCUUGGUUCCUUUAAAAAAUCCUUAAAUUUUCCAAUAUUAGUCAGCAUGUUCAAUUAUCAAAUGCACAUAUAACCAUAAAUUGAAAGGUACAUAUACUGAAAAUUUUUAAUUAAGUGAAUUCUCCUUAGAUAUAUAUGUAUAUGUCUAUACAUAUAUAUCCCAUGGCAAAUAAAAGAUAACAAGGACAAACAUGUUAUCUAAAAUUGUUAUAUCUUACCAGGAAAUAAAAAUUAUUACAUGUGAAAGUGUAGUGAGUCGUGAUUCAUGAAUGAAACCAUAAGCAAAUAAAAAUGGUCAUAUUUUAGGAAGUAGGCUUUGUUAAAAAUUUGAAUGUCAAUGUGUCACGGGGGGCCCUGGAAAAACAGAGAUGGUUAAAUGUGGCUUGUUCUCCAGCCCCUAUGUGUAAAUGUGUUUCUGCUCCUUGACAAGCACUGGACACCCAAAAGAGUGACCUUCAGGGAUCUGAUACAUGAGGAGCAAGGCAAACAAACCUGAGAGUUCAUUGAUCGGAACCUAGGUCAGUACGUCCUAUGUCAUAAUGAAACUUCAUAAGCUUCUCCUGCUUAUUCACAAGGCAGAGGAUAGUUUGUGGAACUCUAGGAUAACUGCCUUAUAGCUCAGGGCUAUGGUAACAUCAAACUUCAGUAACCUUCUUUCCAAAGAUGAAUCAUUUCUUUAUUACUUAUGAACCAGAAUGUUCUCUGAGAUUCCAAUCUGCUUGCUGUGAUGACCUACAUCUCCCAACCAUCUAUCCAGAGCCUCAAUGUUCAAGAUCCAGUUCAACGUUGUCACUCCAUUCAACAUACAUUUAUUUACUUAGCACUAGCUAUGUGCCAAUUACUAUGUGGAGACUUGGGGUUAAAAACAGAGGAGACCACCCUUGUCUUUCAGAAGUUCCCCUUUCCAUAGGAAGAUAGAGAAGCUGACAUUAAACUAUGUAUUAAUAACAAA